rnacentral:rRNA from 1 species
UUAAGCGACUAAGCGUACACGGUGGAUGCCCUGGCAGUCAGAGGCGAUGAAGGACGUGCUAAUCUGCGAAAAGCGUCGGUAAGGUGAUAUGAACCGUUAUAACCGGCGAUGUCCGAAUGGGGAAACCCAGUGUGAUUCGUCACACUAUCGUUAACUGAAUACAUAGGUUAACGAGGCGAACCGGGGGAACUGAAACAUCUAAGUACCCCGAGGAAAAGAAAUCAACCGAGAUUCCCCCAGUAGCGGCGAGCGAACGGGGAGCAGCCCAGAGUCUGAAUCAGCUUGUGUGUUAGUGGAACGGUCUGGAAAGUCCGACGGUACAGGGUGAUAGUCCCGUACACCAAAAUGCACAGGCUGUGAACUCGAAGAGUAGGGCGGGACACGUGGUAUCCUGUCUGAAUAUGGGGGGACCAUCCUCCAAGGCUAAAUACUCCUGACUGACCGAUAGUGAACCAGUACCGUGAGGGAAAGGCGAAAAGAACCCCGGCGAGGGGAGUGAAAAAGAACCUGAAACCGUGUACGUACAAGCAGUGGGAGCACCUUCGGGUGUGACUGCGUACCUUUUGUAUAAUGGGUCAGCGACUUAUAUUCUGUAGCAAGGUUAACCGUAUAGGGGAGCCGCAGGGAAACCGAGUCUUAACUGGGCGUUAAGUUGCAGGGUAUAGACCCGAAACCCGGUGAUCUAGCCAUGGGCAGGUUGAAGGUUGGGUAACACUAACUGGAGGACCGAACCGACUAAUGUUGAAAAAUUAGCGGAUGACUUGUGGCUGGGGGGUGAAAGGCCAAUCAAACCGGGAGAUAGCUGGUUCUCCCCGAAAGCUAUUUAGGUAGCGCCUCGUGAACUCAUCUUCGGGGGUAGAGCACUGUUUCGGCUAGGGGGUCAUCCCGACUUACCAACCCGAUGCAAACUACGAAUACCGAAGAAUGUUAUCACGGGAGACACACGGCGGGUGCUAACGUCCGUCGUGAAGAGGGAAACAACCCAGACCGCCAGCUAAGGUCCCAAAGUCAUGGUUAAGUGGGAAACGAUGUGGGAAGGCACAGACAGCCAGGAUGUUGGCUUAGAAGCAGCCAUCAUUUAAAGAAAGCGUAAUAGCUCACUGGUCGAGUCGGCCUGCGCGGAAGAUGUAACGGGGCUAAACCAUGCACCGAAGCUGCGGCAGCGACACUAUGUGUUGUUGGGUAGGGGAGCGUUCUGUAAGCCUGUGAAGGUGACCUGUGAGGGUUGCUGGAGGUAUCAGAAGUGCGAAUGCUGACAUAAGUAACGAUAAAGCGGGUGAAAAGCCCGCUCGCCGGAAGACCAAGGGUUCCUGUCCAACGUUAAUCGGGGCAGGGUGAGUCGACCCCUAAGGCGAGGCCGAAAGGCGUAGUCGAUGGGAAACAGGUUAAUAUUCCUGUACUUGGUGUUACUGCGAAGGGGGGACGGAGAAGGCUAUGUUAGCCGGGCGACGGUUGUCCCGGUUUAAGCAUGUAGGCUGAUUGUCCAGGCAAAUCCGGAUAAUCAAGGCUGAGGUGUGAUGACGAGGCACUACGGUGCUGAAGUAACAAAUGCCCUGCUUCCAGGAAAAGCCUCUAAGCAUCAGGUAACAUCAAAUCGUACCCCAAACCGACACAGGUGGUCAGGUAGAGAAUACCAAGGCGCUUGAGAGAACUCGGGUGAAGGAACUAGGCAAAAUGGUGCCGUAACUUCGGGAGAAGGCACGCUGGUGUGUAGGUGAAGCCCCUGCGGGUGGAGCUGAGACCAGUCGAAGAUACCAGCUGGCUGCAACUGUUUAUUAAAAACACAGCACUGUGCAAACACGAAAGUGGACGUAUACGGUGUGACGCCUGCCCGGUGCCGGAAGGUUAAUUGAUGGGGUUAUCCGUAAGGAGAAGCUCUUGAUCGAAGCCCCGGUAAACGGCGGCCGUAACUAUAACGGUCCUAAGGUAGCGAAAUUCCUUGUCGGGUAAGUUCCGACCUGCACGAAUGGCGUAAUGAUGGCCAGGCUGUCUCCACCCGAGACUCAGUGAAAUUGAACUCGCUGUGAAGAUGCAGUGUACCCGCGGCAAGACGGAAAGACCCCGUGAACCUUUACUAUAGCUUGACACUGAACAUUGAGCCUUGAUGUGUAGGAUAGGUGGGAGGCUUUGAAGCGUGGACGCCAGUCUGCGUGGAGCCAACCUUGAAAUACCACCCUUUAAUGUUUGAUGUUCUAACGUUGGCCCCUGACCGGGGUUGCGGACAGUGUCUGGUGGGUAGUUUGACUGGGGCGGUCUCCUCCCAAAGCGUAACGGAGGAGCACGAAGGUUAGCUAAUCCUGGUCGGACAUCAGGAGGUUAGUGCAAUGGCAUAAGCUAGCUUGACUGCGAGCGUGACGGCGCGAGCAGGUGCGAAAGCAGGUCAUAGUGAUCCGGUGGUUCUGAAUGGAAGGGCCAUCGCUCAACGGAUAAAAGGUACUCCGGGGAUAACAGGCUGAUACCGCCCAAGAGUUCAUAUCGACGGCGGUGUUUGGCACCUCGAUGUCGGCUCAUCACAUCCUGGGGCUGAAGUAGGUCCCAAGGGUAUGGCUGUUCGCCAUUUAAAGUGGUACGCGAGCUGGGUUUAGAACGUCGUGAGACAGUUCGGUCCCUAUCUGCCGUGGGCGCUGGAGAAUUGAGGGGGGCUGCUCCUAGUACGAGAGGACCGGAGUGGACGCAUCACUGGUGUUCGGGUUGUCAUGCCAAUGGCACUGCCCGGUAGCUAAAUGCGGAAGAGAUAAGUGCUGAAAGCAUCUAAGCACGAAACUUGCCCCGAGAUGAGUUCUCCCUGAGACUUUAAGUCUCCUGAAGGAACGUUAAAGACGAUGACGUUGAUAGGCCGGGUGUGUAAGCGCAGCGAUGCGUUGAGCUAACCGGUACUAAUGAACCGUGAGGCUUAACCUU